rnacentral:rRNA from 1 species
CACAUGUCACGAGUUUGAUCAUGGCUACAGAACGAACGCUGGCGGCAUGCCUAACACAUGCAAGUCGAACGAGACCUUCGGGUCUAGUGGCGCACGGGUGCGUAACACGUGGGAAUUUGCCUCGGGGUAUGGAAUAACUCAGGGAAACUUGAGCUAAUACCAUAUAAUGUCUUCGGACCAAAGAUUUAUCGCCCUGAGAUAAGCCCGCGUAGGAUUAGCUAGUUGGUGGGGUAAAGGGACCUACCAAGGCGACGAUCUUUAGCUGGUCUGAGAGGAUGAUCAGCCACACUGGGACUGAGACACGGCCCAGACUCCUACGGGAGGCAGCAGUGGGGAAUUUUCCGCAAUGGGCGAAAGCCUGACGGAGCAAUACCGCGUGAGGGAAGAAAGCCUACUGGGUUGUAAACCUCUUUUUUCAGGGAGGAAAAAAAUGACGUGUACCUGAAGAAUAAGCAUCGGCUAACUCCGUG